rnacentral:lncRNA from 1 species
AGCGUUUCUGGCUUCAGACAUCUUCUGAGGGCCAGUGGGCACCAGGCACACAGUAGGAGCUUGGUAGAUGGCUGAGGAAUGGCAGGAGCUCAGCCCAGUGUUCAGCCCCAGUGGGGCCUGAGAGGGCCCAAGCACGGUAACCACAGGAGGAGCUCCUUCCCUGUACCCCACCACAGGGAGCCGGCUGGGGAACACAAACUUGGUUUUCCAGUUUUUCCCAGAGCCAGCUGCUCUGUACCUGAGAAGUCAGUGCUUCCCGGAUCCCAGUCAGCAUGGGCUUUUCUCCUAGGCCCUGAGCUUACGUCCAGAAACAUUCUCCUGGGGUUUAUCUGCCCCCACAACCAGCCCAGUACUGGAAGCUCUGACUUCCUCAUCAAGGAUCACAAGGGGAAAAUGACCUGUGGGGUAGGGGGAAGAGGCCAGAGCCUUCAUCACUCUGCCUGCCGCUGGCAUCCUGUGGGGGCCUAGCUAGCUGGGGUCACCUCCCUCUUCCCCACACAGAGCUGGCAGGACAGCUGGUUUAUCCUUCUUCAGCCACAGCCUGCAGAAAGCACGUUCCCCUCGGAGCCCCGGGCCACUAGCCAGUCCACUGGGGACAUCCCUCAGAGAGGGGAGGGGAGGGAGAGACAGGGCGGACACCCAGGCUGGCACACUGUGGCCAGCCACCCGGCUCCACUGACUGGCGGUUUCGUGUCUGGCUCCCUGAGGUCCAGAUGGUCCCAACACGUCCCUGGGGGGUAAGCAGACUCCUGCCCAAACUUGAACUCACAGCUCCAGCCCCCAGAGGCUCCGAGCCAGGACCCCAAAGGAGGGAGAGCUGGCCCCAUGGACUGCCUCACCCUGGCUCUCCUGCCCUGUGGCUUCUGGUUGAAUUCAGCCAAUGGGAGGCACCAGCAGAUAAUCUGAAGAUGGGAGGAGAGAGAGGCACCUCCAGCAACCUUGCUAGACCACAGUGCGGUGGGAGGAAGUCCCAUGAAGAAAUAAAGAACAUGUGGUGAAUCACAGAGAAGUGGCUGAAAAGAUUCAAGCCUCAACCUUGGUCCUCCCUAGUCACAUGACCACAGGCAAACCUCUUCUCUCUCAGCCUCAGUUUUUGCAUCAGUGCAAUAGGAAUGGUAUCUGCCAUGCUAACCUCACAGGACUGCUGUGUGUUCAGAUGAAUCAGGUAUGUGAAAGACACUUCUGCAAGCGGGAAAGAGGUGUGCAAAGGCAAUUUGCUUUUACAGAACUUAUAUUACUGUCAUUUCCCAUCGUUAUUUUAAUGCUCAAAAGGUUUGGGAGACAUUUCUGUAACUGAGGUGUUCAUGGUAAGCCCACACUCACUCCUGCUUGGAAAAGGUUUUACAUAGACUGAGGAGACCUGAGGCAGUUGCUGAGCUGCUUAGAACAGAGUCUCUGGGUCACAGCCAUCCCAUUACUGGGCAUAUCCCCAAAGGAUUGUAAAUCAUGCUGCUAUAAAGACACAUGCACACGUAUG